rnacentral:lncRNA from 1 species
AAAUUACCACUUUUUGGCACUUACCAACUCUCCCCAACUUAGAACUUUGUUUGUCCUCAAACAAAAGUCCAAAAUAUAAACUCUCAAAACAAUGGUUCAAACAUCAUUUGUGCAUAGUUCAUUCAAGCUUUGCAAUCAAUCAAAAACUUUGGAUUUACAUCAUUGUUUGCAUGAUUCAAUGUGUUGCAAGUUCAAAAUCAAUUAUUCAUAAUCAUCAAAGAAUCAAAGCAUGAAUUUGAAAUAGUCUCAAAACUCAUGUAAGAUUUCAAGCUUUCCAAAUCAACAAGAUAAUCAACUAGAAUCACAAUCACAAUUCUCACAAGUGUUUCAACUCAAGGGUGUAGUGUUUCUCUCAAUCCAAGCAAUGUGUUCACAACAAAUUAUCAAUUCAAAUAUACAUCUCAACAUAAUCACAAAACAUGCUAUCAAUUGAUAAGGUCUUUCUUAACCUUGUAAUGAGGCUAGGCUACAAGAAAUCAUUGUUUUUCUUUGGAUUCAAAAAGCCUUAAGGAUAAGAGAGCAUAAACUUUGAGUAUCUUCAUUACAUUGCAUAAGUUAUUCACCCUCUUUCACUUUCCCUAUUCUUUACUUUUGGUGAUUCUUUUGUUUUGACACAAUUUCUAUUCAUUUUUUUUCUUUUGUAACACAUUUUUUUUCUAUUUUCAUUUGUGUGUCAAAUGACUUUCAAUGUUUUUCUUUUUCUUUUUCAAUCAUCAUCUUCAACAUCUCAUAUUUUUCAACUACUUCUUUCUUUCUUUCUUUUUCUUUCACUCAAACAAAUAACCUCUUUCUCCCCAACUUGUUUUCAACCCUACUUAAAUUCAAUGCUCAAUCAUCCUAAGAUAACGGUUAAGUCAUUGUUUUUCUUUAUAGUGGUUCAAGGGUUCAAAAUCAAACAAAAUUUCAAUUUUUUUGGCUCAAGGGGGUAGCAAAGGAUCACACAACUCACAAGGUAGGUUAUUUUGGCUUAAGUAGUUAUCACUCAAAAAGAAACAUGACCUUGAUCAUUUCCAUGACUUAAAACACAUCAAGUAAUAGCAAGAUUCAUUUAAAAUCAACAAAGUUAAACACAAUUGCCGGCUCUCAAAUAUAUAAACAAUGGAAGGUACACACAAUCUCACCCGGCUAGGUCUAAGUGAUUCAUAAUCAAUCAAUCAUGUUAACAAGGAAUGAAUGAAAUCAAAUUGAAUAAAGCUAUUUGGUUCAAAUUCAUUCUAUCAUUCAAAGAUAAUCACAAAGAUUUGACCUCAAGCAAUGCAAUUUAAAGGAAAAGUCAUUCUAACCAUGCAUUUGAAUUUGAUCAAUGACAAACUUAAACUUUUCAAUUCAUAUGCACAUGUAACAAUCACAAAAGUUUAAACCAUGCAUGUUUACAAAUAUUUCAGUCAACAUUUGCAAUAAACAUAAAACAAGAAUUUAAUGACUGAAACAAUAAAAUGUCAUUGUAUAUGGCGUGCUUUAAUCCUCUGCUUCUUCUGUUCUACCUCUUCAACAAGUGUGGACUGUCCUCAGGCCAUGAAGUUAUGCCUGCAUUUACAACAAGGUAAAACAUACAGCCCUAGGCUUUUGUCAGAAGUUCCAAAAGCUCUGAUAAGCUCGCUUAGUGAGCAAGGGUCUCGCUUAGCGACUAUAGCAGAAACUGAAUUUCAGAUGAAAUUCACACCAUUUCAAAUGGACUUUGUUUUCCAAAGUGGCUGGACAUAUUCAAAAACUAUUCUAACAUAUAAGAAAUUAAAAAUGCUUUAAAUAAAAUUAAAGGAAAGAAAAUUGGGUUGCCUCCCAACAAGCGCUUCUUUUACGUCAUUAGCUUGACGCCUUUUUGGUUAGGGUGGCCAAAAUGAGACGGAAAGCACAUCAUCCGUCUUUUUCCUUCGGUUUGGGAGGAACUCCAUGAACUUUAGAU